rnacentral:rRNA from 1 species
GAUGAACGCUGGCGGCGUGCCUAAUACAUGCAAGUCGAGCGAACGGACGAGAAGCUUGCUUUUCUGAUGUUAGCGGCGGACGGGUGAGUAACACGUGGAUAACCUACCUAUAAGACUGGGAUAACUUCGGGAAACCGGAGCUAAUACCGGAUAAUAUUUUGAACCGCAUGGUUCAAAAGUGAAAGACGGUCUUGCUGUCACUUAUAGAUGGAUCCGCGCUGCAUUAGCUAGUUGGUAAGGUAACGGCUUACCAAGGGAACGAUGCAUAGCCGACCUGAGAGGGUGAUCGGCCACACUGGAACUGAGACGCGGUCCAGACUCCUACGGGAGGGAGCAGUAGGGAAUCUUCCGCAAUGGGCGAAAGCCUGACGGAGCGACGCCGCGUGAGUGAUGAAGGCCUUCGGUUCGUAAAACUCUGUUAUUAGGGAAGAACAUAUGUGUAAGUAAAUGUGCACAUAGUGACGGUACCUAAUCAGAAAGCCACGGCUAACUACGUG